UCUGCCCAUCAGACGGGGACAACGAUUGGAAACGAUCGCUAAUACCGGAUAGGACGAAAGUUUAAAGGUGCUUCUGGCACCGCUGAUGGAUGAGCCUGCGGCGCAUUAGCUAGUUGGUAGGGUAAAGGCCUACCAAGGCGACGAUGCGUAGCCGACCUGAGAGGGUGAACGGCCACACUGGGACUGAGACACGGCCCAGACUCCUACGGGAGGCAGCAGUAGGGAAUCUUCGGCAAUGGGCGAAAGCCUGACCGAGCAACGCCGCGUGAAUGAUGAAGGCCUUCGGGUUGUAAAAUUCUGUUAUAAGGGAAGAACGACUUUAGUAGGAAAUGGCUAGAGUGUGACGGUACCUUAUGAGAAAGCCACGGCUAACUACGUGCCAGCAGCCGCGGUAAUACGUAGGUGGCGAGCGUUAUCCGGAAUUAUUGGGCGUAAAGAGCGCGCAGGUGGUUGAUUAAGUCUGAUGUGAAAGCCCACGGCUUAACCGUGGAGGGUCAUUGGAAACUGGUCGACUUGAGUGCAGAAGAGGGAAGUGGAAUUCCAUGUGUAGCGGUGAAAUGCGUAGAGAUAUGGAGGAACACCAGUGGCGAAGGCGGCUUCCUGGUCUGUAACUGACACUGAGGCGCGAAAGCGUGGGGAGCAAACAGGAUUAAAUACCCUGGUAGUCCACGCCGUAAACGAUGAGUGCUA
rnacentral:rRNA from 1 species